UACGGAGGGUGCAAGCGUUAUCCGGAUUUACUGGGUUUAAAGGGUGCGUAGGUGGGUAGGUAAGUCAGUUGUGAAAUCUCCGGGCUUAACUCGGAAAGGUCAACUGAUACUGUGCGACUAGAGUGCGGAAGGGGCAACUGGAAUUCUCGGUGUAGCGGUGAAAUGCGUAGAUAUCGAGAGGAACACCUGCGGCGAAGGCGGGUUGCUGGGCCGACACUGACGCUGAUGCGCGAAAGCCAGGGGAGCGAACGGGG
rnacentral:rRNA from 1 species